rnacentral:rRNA from 1 species
GACGAACGCUGGCGGCGUGCCUAAUACAUGCAAGUCGAACGCAGUGGGGACGGGUGAGUAACACGUGGGUAACCUCCCAUCAGAGGGGAUAACCCUUGGUAACAGGUGCUAAACCGAUCCUGAUGGAUGGACCCGCGGUGCAUUAGCUACUUGGUGGUGUAACGGCUCACCAAGGCCACGAUGCCUACCCGGCCUGAGCGGGUGAUGGGCCACCCGGGGACUGAGACACGGCCCAGACUCCUACGGGAGGCAGCAGUAGGGAAUCUUCGGCAAUGGACGAAAGUCUGACCGAGCAACGCCGCGUGAGUGAAGAAGGUUUUCGGAUCGUAAAACUCUGUUGUUAGAGAAGCGGUAUCUAACCAGAAAGCCACGGCUAAAAACGUGCCAGCAGCCGCGGUAAUUC